CCAUUGAGUUUGAUCCUGGCUCUCGAUGAACGCUAGCGACAGGCCUAACACAUGCAAGUCGAGGGGUAACAGGGAAGCUUGCUUCCGCUGACGACCGGCGCACGGGUGCGUAACGCGUAUGAAACCUGCCUUAUACUGGGAGAUAGCCCGAAGAAAUUCCGAUUAAUACCCCAUAAUAAUAAGUUAUCGCAUGGUAAUUUAUUUAAAACUCCGGUGGUAUAAGAUGGUCGUGCGUGACAUUAGCUAGUUGGUGAGGUAAUGGCUCACCAAGGCGACGAUGUCUAGGGGUUCUGAGAGGAAGGUCCCCCACACUGGUACUGAGACACGGACCAGACUCCUACGGGAGGCAGCAGUGAGGAAUAUUGGUCAAUGGGCGAAAGCCUGAACCAGCCAUGUCGCGUGCAGGAUGACUGCCCUAUGGGUUGUAAACUGCUUUUAUAUGGGAAGAAUGUGACCUACGUGUAGGUUUUUGCCGGUACCAUAUGAAUAAGCAUCGGCUAACUCCGUGCCAGCAGCCGCGGUAAUACGGAGGAUGC
rnacentral:rRNA from 1 species